CAAUAGCGUAUAUUUAAGUUGUUGCAGUUAAAAAGCUCGUAGUUGGAUUUCGGGUGGGACGCAGCGGUCUCGCAUUGCGUUUGUACUGCUGCAGCCCUCCUUCUUGCCGGGGGCGGCCUCUCGGACUUCACUGUCUGGGGGUCAGAAUCGGCGAUGUUACUUUGAGUAAAUUAGAGUGUUCAAAGCAAGCUUACGCUCUGAAUAUAAUAGCAUGGGAUAACACGACAGGACUCUGGUCUAUCGUGUUGGUCUAUAGGACCAGAGUAAUGAUUAAGAGGGACAGUCGGGGGCAUUCGUAUUCCGUUGUCAGAGGUGAAAUUCUUGGAUUUACGGAAGACGAACAUCUGCGAAAGCAUUUGCCAAGGAUGUUUUCAUUGA
rnacentral:rRNA from 1 species